GCUGGGCACUGUAGCGCAUGCCUGUAAUCCCAGUGGCUUGGUAGGCUGAGGCAGGAGGAUUCUGAGUUCAAAGCGCAAGGCACUAAGCAACUCAGUGAGACCCUGUUUCUA
rnacentral:sRNA from 1 species